CAGAACGAACGCUGGCGGCAGGCCUAACACAUGCAAGUCGAGCGCACCUUCGGGUGAGCGGCGGACGGGUUAGUAACGCGUGGGAAUAUGCCCAGAUCUACGGAAUAGCCUCGGGAAACUGAGAGUAAUACCGUAUACGCCCUUCGGGGGAAAGAUUUAUCGGAUUUGGAUUAGCCCGCGUUGGAUUAGGUAGUUGGUGGGGUAACGGCCUACCAAGCCGACGAUCCAUAGCUGGUUUGAGAGGAUGAUCAGCAACACUGGGACUGAGACACGGCCCAGACUCCUACGGGAGGCAGCAGUGGGGAAUCUUAGACAAUGGGGGAAACCCUGAUCUAGCCAUGCCGCGUGAGUGACGAAGGCCUUAGGGUCGUAAAGCUCUUUCGCCAGGGAUGAUAAUGACAGUACCUGGUAAAGAAACCCCGGCUAACUCCGUGCCAGCAGCCGCGGUAAUACGGAGGGGGUUAGCGUUGUUCGGAAUUACUGGGCGUAAAGCGCACGUAGGCGGACUAUUAAGUCAGGGGUGAAAUCCCGGGGCUCAACCCCGGAACUGCCUUUGAUACUGGUAGUCUUGAGUUCGAGAGAGGUGAGUGGAAUUCCGAGUGUAGAGGUGAAAUUCGUAGAUAUUCGGAGGAACACCAGUGGCGAAGGCGGCUCACUGGCUCGA
rnacentral:rRNA from 1 species